ACUUUUGCCCGUCGCCCCAAGAUGGCGGACACGAUGAGGUGGUGCUGCGUCGGUUGCGCCUGAGGUGGCUGUGAGGACUAACGGUCGGCGCGGCUCCACAGCUGAGGCAGAAGACCGUCGUCCAAGGAGGAGGAAGAAGAGGAGGCGGCCCCACUGCCGGCCGACUUCUCGCUAGCCACCGGCUCAACACUCCCGCCACCCAGGGUUGGCCCCUCAGCAGCCCGCCCGCUGCCAGACCCCGCUGCCUUCCCCAGCCGCCGCCAUGAAGCUGACCGACAGCGUGCUGCGGAGCUUCCGCGUCGCCAGGGUGUUCUGCGAAAACUCGGACAAGAUUAACUGCUUCGAUUUCAGCCCCAACGGCCAGACGGUCAUCUCAAGCAGCAACGACGACUCCAUCGUGCUCUACGACUGCCAGGAGGGCAAGCCAAAGAGAACCCUGUACAGUAAGAAAUAUGGCGUGGACCUCAUCAGAUUCACUCAUGAGGCAAACACAGCUGUUUACAGCUCUAACAAAAUAGACGAUACUAUUCGUUACUUGUCCUUGCAUGACAACAAAUACAUCAGAUACUUUCCUGGACAUAGCAAAAGGGUGGUGGCCUUGUCCAUGUCACCUGUGGAUGACAUUUUCAUUUCUGGGUCUCUUGAUAGGACCAUUCGACUCUGGGAUCUCCGGGCUCCUAACUGCCAGGGCCUCGUGCAUCUACAGGGGAAGCCAGUUUGUUCUUUUGAUCCAGAAGGGUUAAUUUUGGCUGCAGGUGUCAACUCUGAGAUGGUCAAACUUUACGACCUUCGUUCUUUUGAUAAGGGGCCAUUUACUACCUUUAAGAUGCAGUGUCAUCGAACCUGUGAGUGGACAGGACUUAAAUUCAGCAACGAUGGCAAGGUCAUCCUCAUUUCCACCAACGGCAGCUUCAUUUCUCUCAUUGAUGCAUUCAAAGGAGUGGUGAUGCACACGUUUGAGGGUUAUGCAAACAGCAAAGCUGUCACACUGGAGGCUUCGUUUACUCCAGACUCUCAGUUUAUUAUGAUUGGUUCGGAGGAUGGCAAGAUCCAUGUCUGGAAUGGAGAGACUGGUAUAAAAGUAGCUGUGUUGGAUGGUAAACACACCGGCCCGAUUACAUGUUUGCAAUUCAACCCCAAGUUCAUGACUUUUGCCAGCGCAUGUUCCAACAUGGUCUUCUGGUUGCCCACCAUUGAUGACUCGCCCUAAUGCUGCUCGGCUAUUACUGUACAGUGACGGCGGCCGUUGGAAGAAACUCACGGGGGGCUAUGAUAAUACUGAGAUUGGAUGGUUUGACUGGGCUGCAGGGCAUCCUUUACGUGGCCUUCUCAUGGAUGUGCUGUAAAUCUGCUCAAAAGAAAAUAAUUACUUUGCUGAGCAUCUUCAAAAGGACUCUCGGUGCAACAGACUCAAUUGGAACUCAGCUUUUCUAGCUGUCCCUGCACCAAGGUCUGCUAGAGGAAUGAUCAGACUCACGAUUUGGGUAGAGUGGGGCUCUCAAGACAUCUUCAAUUUGAAUGUACCUGCUGCUGAGAGCCGAUGAAGUCAUCAGCUCUGCGCAUCCCUUCUGCUACCCCCCGCCCAAAUGUAUGGCAAGCUACGGUCCUGGUUUUGAAAUGCUAGAGCAGCUCAGUGCCCUUUGCCCUCACCUUGCAUGUCUUGUUACUGGGUCUCCCUGUGUACUUGUGACGUUAUCCACAACCAUCAUGUUUCUUAGGUGCCAAACAGUUACAGAAAUGUUUUCAUAUUGGGGUCAGUAAAGAGACAGAUACAGAAGCACCUUGCUUGCAGGAAGCCAUGCAGUUAGUCACUACAAUUAGUCACGUGAAGCUAGGUGGUUGGGCAGGCCUCAGGCUGUAGUUGUUGAAUGGGAGAAAGCCCAGGGGUCUAAAAGGGAGGGUAAAGGGAUGGUAGCAGAAGAGUUCCUAGGGCUGGAAGGUUUAGCAGCAGUGUAGUGCAGUGCCCUGUCAUCAAGACAAACCCACAGUCCUCCUGGGUGCCUACCAAGCUUGGUUUGUACAAAAGCAAGAUUGGAGUCGUAUUUAUGUACAUGAGACAACAUCACACUUUCCUGUGGGCCAUUACUGUGAAGUGAGUCUGAGUUCUUUACACUGGUGCCUUCUCUGCCCACCACUAAUUGUGUACAUAGUCUUCCCUGCCCACCACAAAUUGUCUACCUUUCCCCACCUCCCAACCAGGAGCUGGUUCUAGGCCUGUGUUAUAUUUAGCCUUUUUAUAUAUGACCUUUGAUUUCUGUUGUUUGUAUUUUAGCCCAGUGUAUGCACCUUCAUUUAAAUACAUCCGUGUGCGUACAGGUAUGUGUAUAUGUGUGUGCAUAUGCAUAUAUCUCAUCUGUAAUUUCUGAGAGUUCAGCUGAAGCAAAUGGAGUCCUACAGCCCAGGAGACACAUUGCAUCCUUGCUAAUAUUGUUCACCACAAGUGUUAGUGAGUUUUCCCUAUUAAUGUUUCAUUUUGGAAGACUGAAUGAAGCAAAGCUUAUAGUGUUUGCUGUUUCCAUGGCAGCUAAGUGAAGGUCUUGGGAUGACUCCCUGUGUUCCUCAAGCUGUACUUUGGGGCCGUCUGUGCAGUAUUAACCCCUUUUUGCUUGGUGGUGCUUUGUACUUGUGUGUUAUAGUCACUCUUUGUAUGGCUUCUGUGUCUGGCAUGUGGCAUUUAAGGAUAGGGUGUUAUAAAGGAUAUAAAACUCUUUAUAUGCUAAAUUCUAAGGGAAAUUUAUCAUAUGACUUCUUACACAGGACACAUUGAAUGAUAUUACAGCCACUGCUUUGCUUCAUUUGAAAUUAAUAAAUGUAACACAAGAUUAAAGGGAUACUUUA